UAAAGACCCCUGCAGGCGGAGGAAGAAUCUGCAGUCGUCAGCGGUGGGAGUGAAUGUGGACUCUCGCACUCGUAGGAAAGGACAGAAGGUGAAUCUGCUUGUGUGUUGUAACAUGUGUUAUGAUGUAAACGUGAGCUCCGGCUUCAGGCAGCACCGUCAGCCCUCUCAUGAGCUACUGAUGCCACCUGAAGGCGGUGAGAACAGGCUUCUCUCUGGUCCUGUCUACAGUGUCGUCUACGAUUAGUACGAGAGUCAGGUUUGACUGGGAUAGAAGAAAAAUGAAAAGGAGUUUUGUGAGUUUAAUUUAAAAUAAAAAAAAAAACUCACACAGAAAACCUCCAGUGUUUUAUAAGAUUAGUGUGGUCAUACUGUGAAUAUUUCUUGCCACGAUGUUGCAGUGCUUUCUGACUUCCCUUCCCUGUCUGUGCAGCAACAACUUUGUUCAGAAAGCAGAUUCACUCGCUGCCUGGAUUGAUGUUCAGAGAAAAUGAGCCAUAAAAGCUCUUUGGUUGAGGUGAAGGUUUGUUUCAGUGGUCAAAAGUUUCAGAGAACAAAUGAUGUAAGCAGUCAGUGGAUGUUUUCCCUGUAUGCACCCCAGAGAGCGAAGCCUGUGCUUUGGUGUUCACUCCGCUCCAGUGAUGCAGCUUCAGCUUUACAGUCGUCCCACCUCGUCUCGUUAGUCCAUUGUGUCGGUCCGUGUAACUCUGAGCCUAACAGAAGACAAUCAGAGCCUCCUACAGCAGAUCAAAGCUUCUGUUUCCGUGGAGAAACGCCAAACAAAGACAGAUGUGUGGACUGCGGCGUGGAGGCUGAGCGUUGGGAGCAAUAAUGAGCGCAGACAGCCCACCUAAAGGCACGAUGCACCUCACUUCCCUGUCUUUUAACUUAUGCAAAGAGUGAGGGACACUGCAGCUAAUUUAGUGCUUUCACAAGAGCAGGACUGACCACACACACACACACACACACCAGUUCUGCUGAACAUCUGCUGACAUCUGGUGGACAAGAGAGGGACAAACCGAACCAGCAAGAGCUCAAAAUGCAUCUUCAUUCAGCAGCAAUAAAUGUCCUGCAACGUCUGCUGCAAUAAGAUCCUGCAUUCAAAAUCACAUUAAAGUACACAUUCAGGUAUACAAAACAUACUAAAGGUAUAAGUACUCCUUAAAUAGAAUGGUCCAUUUCUGAAUGUAUUAUUGGAUUAUAAUUAGUGAUACAUUCAUGUGUUUUAAAUCAAGAAUCAAUCAAGAAUCAAGGAGUUUCAAUUGUAAGAUUAAAUACCUUAAUCCAUAAUGAUAUACUGAGAUGUUUUAGCUGGUUUUUAUUUUGUAUUGAUUAUCUGAAAAAAAAAAUAUAUUUGUAUGUCCCUUUUCAUGUUUUAAAAAUUGCAAAGGAAAUAAAAGGGAAGGAGAAAAGGAGCAGCCAGGUGUCAACAGGUAGGAGAAGCACCGACACUACCCCCUUGUGGUCACUAUGUAGAACUGCAGUAAGACGCACCCUUUCAAUUUUUAAAUUUGUUUGUUUUUUUGUCCCACGUGUCAUCAGUUCGUUCCUAAAUCAAGUUUGUACAAUACCUUUCUAGUUCCGUAUUGCCAUACUUCACUCCUUAAAGGAACUGUUCACUCCAAAAUGAAAAAGAGACAACUUAUUCUUUUAUCUCUGAGAAGUAGCAGAGUGUAGUAGCACCUGAUAAAAGUAUGGUAAAAUUGUACUUAAGUAGGCCGACAGCACUCAGUAAAUGUACUUCAUUAUAUUCCACUGCUCUUGCUGUAAUGUUUUGUCACCUUGUGCUGAUGGGACUCCACUGCUGGUCAAAUAACUUUAUAAUAAAAAUAAAUUAUUUUUAAAAAAAAAGAAAAAAGAACCUAAAUCUUUCACCAGAAUUUCCUUCAGUUCAUGAUCAGGGUUUGUAUCCCCUUUAGUGAAGACAAAAAAAAAAAAAAGCAUUUGCCACCAUUUUUGUAGUCCUGGAUUUGUUGUAGUCCAAUCUUUCAUUGUACCCAACCCACAGUCCCACAGAUUACCAGCAGGCGGCAUUAUGCUACAACUAAACCAGUUGUCUCUCUGUUGCAGCUGCUGUCACACACUGGUUAUCACGUGUGUGGAUUGUGCUCAGGCUUCGCAUUGCGAAUGUCGUUGUUUCACAAAUUCACUGAUUUUUUUGGUGUGAAUUAAUUUAUUAACUUCACUUUCAAUGACAGCUGUAAUUAAUAGCACUGAGUGCACACCAGUUACACAUUAUAAGUAAAAAGUAAAAGGUGUUUGAGGAUGAUUUUGACAUUAUUUUACCUUCAGGCAUCACAGUUGUCCAUCUCAUCUGAAGGUGCUCAGAGGACCAUGAGGUGAAGUGGUAUUUGAGGCAGUGGGUGUCCUGGGGUCUUGCUGUGAAAUACAUAGUGAUGAGACCAUAUUUUAAUGGUAACUAAUUCAGUUAAUGAGAUCAGUCUGAAGGCCCACAGGAAACGUCCUCUGACCUCAGACGCUCCGCUGUGGGACUUUUUUAACAAAUUGACUGCAGAGUAUAAAAUCCUGCCCGAAUGCCCGCUGAACGGGAUGUUUAACCCCUGCAGGUAAAGAAUGACAUCACAGCCAAUUAAUCCAGCAUUAACAAAGAGUGCUGCUAACGGUCGAGCUUAUGAACAUUUAAUAACGUUACCUUUGAUACUUGUUGAACUUAUUAACUUUUAAUCCCUGACCUCAUCCAUGAUUAAUAAUUCUCUGUCUGAUCCCCUUUCAGCUGAGGCCCCAGUGCUGGCAGAUGGGCAGCCCAACUGCUGCCAACUGCUUUCCAUGCAAUAUUCAAGAUGCUGGCGCAGGAAUCAACAGACAAACACUCCUCAACCCUUCAACACCUCCACAUACACAUGUCCAUCUGAAGAGAGACGAGGUGUUGGCGUCUUUGAAGUGGGGACACCUUCUCGCCAACGACUCGACCACUGAGGCGACCUGUAGGGCUUAAUGAGUGGACGCCCUGAUAUCGUCGCUCCUGAGUGGAUCAGGUCUCUGAAUAAAAGUCAGAUCAGCUUUGUUUAUGUGGCCAAAAUCACACAAGACAAAUUUAACGUGACAUCUGCCUGUUCUGGGUUUCCAUUCUGCUUGUAUCUGCACGUUUCAACACGUUUCGGCUUCUGUGAAAUUGUCCACAGCAUACAGUCGUGCUGUGUUUAUGUUCAUAUCUGUAUUUUACUGUUUCAUCGUUUUUAUUGUUCUUAGAAAAUGAGUUGACAUUGUUAUUCCAAUAUAAUUUACCAUUUACUAUUUAGAACUAUGUAGAAAUUCCUCUUAACCUUAUAUGUAAUGAUUGAAUAAAAACAUGAGGUUUAUGUACAAAUUUGCAUUUUCAUUAAAUCAGACCAAGUUAGAUUUAUUCAUUUAUUAAAGUGGUCAAAAUCAUGAUUUAAUUUAGAUACUCGGACACAGCUUGGUGAAAGUGGCUGUAGAGCUUCGAUGCUUCUGAAUCUUCACCAUAUCUUAUUAAAAUAUCUUCAAAAGGCCUUGCCAAGAUCAGGUCACUGCACUCUGUAAACCCUCUCCUCCUCCUCCUCCUCCUCCUCCUCCUCCUUUUCCUUCUUCUGCCUUUCUUUGACCCCCGCAUGCAUCCACCACAGCCUCCAGCCUCCCGUCUCCGUCCCCUCCUUGUCUUUUGUCUGUCUUUCCCUCCAGAAUUCCUGGCCAGAGGCUCGAGUCUUCUCCCUCUGUGUCGUCGUCCAUCUGUCGGCUGCCGGGCCUCCUCCACGAGCAGAUGUGUGCUCCUUCCUCCUCGACCUGAGCCCUGAGUUUGACCUCGGUACUUUGAGCACUUGUUACCAGGGUGUUUUCUACCAGGCACCGGACGUGUUGAAAAUCUAAACAAUAAAGAAAAUGUGCUUCCUAGUGUCAGCGAAGGUCUGUGGUCAGACAGGCCUAGAAGUCGGCUUUCUCGAAAGUGGAGAAGGGAGACACAUUCAGAUAAAGCAGCCCGAGCAGUUAUGAGCUCUGUAGAGAGGCUGAGGAGCUCGCCCCAGCACCGAGGCCGGAGACGGCUCCGUCCGAGGAGGACCACAGAGAGCUGACACUUGCCCCCCAGACUGCUGGAGCUAAAUUCAAUCCUGGAAACGCUCGCU